AGCUCUCCGAGUAGUGUGGAUGUUUAUUGGGCCUAAAGCAUCCGUAGCUGGCUGGACAAGUUCUCUGUUAAAUCCACCGAUUUAAUCGUUGGAUUGCGGGGAAUACUGUUCGGCUAGGGGGCGGGAGAGGCCGACGGUAUUUCCGGGGUAGGGGUGAAAUCCUAUAAUCCCGGGAGGACCACCAGUGGCGAAGGCUGUCGGCUAGAACGCGCCCGACGGUGAGGGAUGAAAGCUGGGGGAGCGAACCGGAUUAGAUACCCGAGUAGUCC
rnacentral:rRNA from 1 species